rnacentral:tRNA from 2 species
AUUUAUAUAGUUUAAUAAAACAUUACAUUUUCAUUGUAAAAAUAAAAAUUAACUUUUUUUAUAAAUA